rnacentral:rRNA from 1 species
AACGCUAGCUACAGGCUUAACACAUGCAAGUCGAGGGGCAUCAGGGUAGCAAUACCGCUGGCGACCGGCGCACGGGUGAGUAACACGUAUCCAACCUACCGUUAACUCGGGGAUAGCCUUUCGAAAGAAAGAUUAAUACCCGAUAGUAUAUUUUCUUCGCAUGUUGAAAAUAUUAAAGAAUUUCGGUUAUCGAUGGGGAUGCGUUCCAUUAGGCAGUUGGCGGGGUAACGGCCCACCAAACCUACGAUGGAUAGGGGUUCUGAGAGGAAGGUCCCCCACAUUGGAACUGAGACACGGUCCAAACUCCUACGGGAGGCAGCAGUGAGGAAUAUUGGUCAAUGGACGAAGGUCUGAACCAGCCAAGUAGCGUGAAGGAUGACUGCCCUAUGGGUUGUAAACUUCUUUUAUAUGGGAAUAAAGUUCUCCACGUGUGGAGUUUUGUAUGUACCAUUAUGAAUAAGCAUCGGCUAACUCCGUGCCAGCAGCCGCGGUAAUACAGAGGAUGCGAGCGUUAUCCGGAUUUAUUGGGUUUAAAGGGAGCGUAGGUGGACUGGUAAGUCAGUUGUGAAAGUUUGCGGCUCAACCGUAAAAUUGCAGUUGAUACUGUCAGUCUUGAGUACAGUAGAGGUGGGCGGAAUUCGUGGUGUAGCGGUGAAAUGCUUAGAUAUCACGAAGAACUCCGAUUG